rnacentral:rRNA from 1 species
GACGAACGCUGGCGGCGUGCCUAACACAUGCAAGUCGAACGGUGAAGCGAGUUCCUUGUUGGUGGGUGGGGAUGGGUGGCGGACGGGGGAAUAAGUGGUGAGUAACCUUCUACCUCCGGCUGGAUAACCGCAUGACGGUGUUGAUAAUACGGGAUAUUCUGGACCGGUCGCAUCAUUGGUCUGGGACAGAUUUUGUUUCGGUGGUAGAUGGGCUCGCGCCGCAUUAGCUAGUUGGUAAGGUAACGGCUUACCAAGGCGACGAUGGGUAGCCGGCCUGAGAGGGUGAGCGGCCACCCUGGAACUGAGACACGGCCCAGACUCCUACGGGAGGCAGCAGUAGGGAAUCUUCCGCAAUGGGCGAAAGCCGGACGGAGCAACGCCGCGUGAGUGAUGAAGGUCUUCGGAUCGUAAAACUCUGUUAUUAGGGAAGAACAAAUGUGUAAGUAACUAUGCACGUCUUGACGGUACCUAAUCAGAAAGCCACGGCUAACUACGUG